AUUCUCUCAACGCACAGUCACUCCUAGUUCUGCUCUCUUGAUUCCUGCUGUUCCUUCAGCCCCCGUUGCUGUCAUUCAGGCUGUUCACUGAAAGGCAAUCCUGGCUUCCUAAUCACGAGGCACGACUGUGCUCCCGAGAGAUCACACUAACUGUUGGAGAGCAUCUAUUUCUCUGAAUCUUCUGCAACAUAAGGAUUGGCAUGUGUAGGACUGACAACCUGAGGCCUGAUCCUGGUUUCUGACUGAUUUUCCCAUCCUGGAGAUCCUGAGAGAAGCCCAUGGAGGAUAGUAAUCCUGUGAUCAUCAUGAUUUCAGGACCCCAUUGUUGGACUAUACCAGAGACCCCAUGAGCUGAUCCUUGCAUCCUGGCCUGAGAGAAACCUGGCAUUUUAACCACAGGCCCUCUAGGACCAGUUCAACUGACCCCAUCUUAUCAUCACAGUAAUUAAGAGUGGUUUCUCAGGAACUGAGACCCCUUGUCCAGUUCAGGCUAUUUCAGACCACCAACUUAUCAACUGGGCCUCCACAAAUGCCUGAUAAGUGACUUUUGUGACCUCAAGGGGCUGAAAACUC
rnacentral:lncRNA from 1 species